rnacentral:rRNA from 1 species
GAAACACGGACCAAGGAGUCUAGCAUGUGCGCGAGUCAUUGGGAUUAAUUAAACCUAAAGGCGCAAUGAAAGUAAAGGUUCGCCUCGCGCGAACCGAGGGAGGAUGGGUGUGUAAUAUAAACAUGCCCCGCACUCCCGGGGCGUCUCCCUCUCAUAGCGAGAAGAGGCGCACCCAGAGCGUACACGCUGGGACCCGAAAGAUGGUGAACUAUGCUUGGUCAGGACGAAGUCAGGGGAAACCCUGAUGGAGGUCCGUAGCGAUUCUGACGUGCAAAUCGAUCGUCGGAACUGAGUAUGGGAGCGAAAGACUAAUCGAACCAUCUAGUAGCUGG